rnacentral:tRNA from 1 species
GCCCCCGUAGCUCAGUGGUAGAGCAGCGGCCUUUUAAGCCGAGUGUCGGAGGUCCGAUCCCUCCCGGGGGCA